rnacentral:rRNA from 1 species
CCUACGGGAGGCUGCAGUGGGGAAUAUUGGGCAAUGGGCGCAAGCCUGACCCAGCAACGCCGCGUGAAGGAAGACGGCUUUCGGGUUGUAAACUUCUUUUAUGAGGGACGAAACAAAUGACGGUACCUCCUGAAUAAGCCACGGCUAACUACGUGCCAGCAGCCGCGGUAAUACGUAGGUGGCAAGCGUUAUCCGGAUUUACUGGGUGUAAAGGGCGUGUAGGCGGGACUGCAAGUCAGAUGUGAAAAUUAUGGGCUCAACCCAUAAACUGCAUUUGAUACUGUAAUUCUUGAGUGAUGGAGAGGCAGGCGGAAUUCCGGGUGUAGCGGUGAAAUGCGUAGAUAUACGGAGGAACACCAGUGGCGAAGGCGGCCUACUGGACAGUAACUGACGCUGAGGCGCGAAAGCGUGGGGAGCAAACAGGAUUAGAUACCCCAGUAGUC